rnacentral:rRNA from 1 species
GACGAACGCUGGCGGCGUGCUUAACACAUGCAAGUCGAGCGAUGGAGUUUCUUCGGAAAUGGAUUAGCGGCGAACGGGUGAGUAACACGUGAGGAAUCUGCCCUUCACUUUGGAAUAACUCCGGGAAACCGGAGCUAAUACCGGAUACGAACGCUGGCGGCAUCGCCGGGGUGGGAAAGUUUUUCGGUGAAGGAUGACCGCGCGGCCUAUCAGCUUGUUGGUGAGGUAAGGGCUCACCAAGGCGACGACGGGUAGCCGGCCUGAGAGGGUGACCGGCCACACUGGGACUGAGAUACGGCCCAGACUCCUACGGGAGGCAGCAGUGGGGAAUAUUGCACAAUGGGCGCAAGCCUGAUGCAGCGACGCCGCGUGAGGGAUGACGGCCUUCGGGUUGUAAACCUCUUUCAGCACCGACGAAGCGCAAGUGACGGUAGGUGCAGAAGAAGGACCGGCCAACUACGUGCCAGCCGCCGCCGUAA